AAUGAUGAGCCUGAUUAAAGGACUAUCGUGAUAGGAUAAAACAUGUAGUAAAACCUACCUUCAUUA
rnacentral:tRNA from 1 species